UGAGUGAAGAAGGUUUUCGGAUCGUAAAACUCUGUUGUUGGAGAAGAAUGUAUCUGAUAGUAACUGAUCAGGUAGUGACGGUAUCCAACCAGAAAGCCACGGCUAACUACGUGCCAGCAGCCGCGGUAAUACGUAGGUGGCAAGCGUUGUCCGGAUUUAUUGGGCGUAAAGCGAGCGCAGGCGGUUUCUUAAGUCUGAUGUGAAAGCCUUCGGCUCAACCGAAGAAGUGCAUCGGAAACUGGGAAACUUGAGUGCAGAAGAGGACAGUGGAACUCCAUGUGUAGCGGUGAAAUGCGUAGAUAUAUGGAAGAACACCAGUGGCGAAGGCGGCUGUCUGGUCUGUAACUGACGCUGAGGCUCGAAAGCAUGGGUAGCAAACAGGAUUAGAUACCCUGGUAGUCCAUGCCGUAAACGAUGAGUGCUAGGUGUUGGAGGGUUUCCGCCCUUCAGUGCCGCAGCUAACGCAUUAAGCACUCCGCCUGGGGAGUACGACCGCAAGGUUGAAACUCAAAGGAAUUGACGGGGGCCCGCACAAGCGGUGGAGCAUGUGGUUUAAUUCGAAGCAACGCGAAGAACCUUACCAGGUCUUGACAUCCUUUGACCACUCUAGAGAUAGAGCUUUCCCUUCGGGGACAAAGUGACAGGUGGUGCAUGGUUGUCGUCAGCUCGUGUCGUGAGAUGUUGGGUUAAGUCCCGCAACGAGCGCAACCCUUAUUACUAGUUGCCAGCAUUUAGUUGGGCACUCUAGUGAGACUGCCGGUGACAAACCGGAGGAAGGUGGGGACGACGUCAAAUCAUCAUGCCCCUUAUGACCUGGGCUACACACGUGCUACAAUGGAUGGUACAACGAGUUGCGAGACCGCGAGGUUUAGCUAAUCUCUUAAAACCAUUCUCAGUUCGGAUUGUAGGCUGCAACUCGCCUACAUGAAGCCGGAAUCGCUAGUAAUCGCGGAUCAGCAUGCCGCGGUGAAUACGUUCCCGGGCCUUGUACACACCGCCCGUCACACCAUGAGAGUUGGAGACACUCAACGCCGGCGAGGUAGCCGUUACAAGAGCACAGCUAGCAGAGAGAGUUGGUCCGA
rnacentral:rRNA from 1 species